UAUAAAAAUAUCUUUGGUUGGGGCAACCACGAAGAAAAAACAACCUUCGUAAACUAAAAAAAUAAACAAAUUUAAAACUAAACUAAUAAGAUCCGGAACUACCGAACAAAGAAAAAAGUUACCGCAGGGAUAACAGCGCCAUUCUCUUUGAGAGUUCAUAUUGACAAGAGAGUUUACGACCUCGAUGUUGGACCGGGGCACCCCAGGGGUGCAGCAGCCCCUAAAGGUAGGUCUGUUCGACCUUUAAAGCCCUACGCGAUCUGAGUUCAGACCGACGCAAGUCAGGUCAGUUUCUAUCUA
rnacentral:rRNA from 1 species